rnacentral:tRNA from 1 species
GGGGCAAUAGCUCAGCGGUUAGAGCAGCGAACUCAUAAUUCGUCGGUCCUGGGUUCAAAUCCCGGUUGCCCCA